CCCGCUGAACUUAAGCAUAUCACUAAGCGGAGGAAAAGAAAUUAACUAAGAUUGCCUCAGUAACGGCGAGUGAAGCGGCAAAAGCCCAAACUGGAAAUCUUCACACUGCGUGUGACGAAUUGUAAUCUACAGGUGGGACACUCAACGGAUGGUGAUGCAUAAGUGACCUAGAAUGGUCCGCCAGAGAGGGUGACAGCCCCGUUCAUGGCAUCACCGUUUAACGAGUGCCUUUCAAAGAGUCGGGUUGUUUGGAAUUGCAGCCCUAAGUGGGGGAUAGACUUCCUCUAAGGCUAAAUACAUAUGGGAAACCGUUAGCGAACAAGUACUGUGAAGGAAAGAUGAAAAGAACUUUGAAAAGAGAGUCAAAAGACUUGAAAUCGUUGAGAAGGAAGCGGUAGAAAUUUAUUCUUCGCUGCAGGAUGAAGGUGUUCUCCUAACUAAUGGUAUUUGUCUACACUUCAACAGGUAGCUGGUACCACAUGGGGAAGAGAUAGCUGGAUCCUGCAGUGUGAGGCAAAAUGAGGUUAAACCUACACAAAAGCUUCGUAGACCUGGGCUGGUUCGCUAGUCAGUCUGCGUUUGUUGGUGUAGAUUUAGCCUGAGGAAGCCUUGUGCGAUUUUGCCAAAAUGGUUUUUACCGACCCGUCUUGAAACACGG
rnacentral:rRNA from 1 species